AUUGAACGCUGGCGGCAUGCUUUACACAUGCAAGUCGAACGGUAACAGGUUAAGCUGACGAGUGGCGAACGGGUGAGUAAUGCAUCGGAACGUGCCCGGUCGUGGGGGAUAACGCAGCGAAAGCUGCGCUAAUACCGCAUACGAUCUAAGGAUGAAAGCGGGGGACCGUAAGGCCUCGCGCGAUCGGAGCGGCCGAUGUCAGAUUAGGUAGUUGGUGGGGUAAAGGCUCACCAAGCCAACGAUCUGUAGCUGGUCUGAGAGGACGACCAGCCACACUGGGACUGAGACACGGCCCAGACACCUACGGGAGGCAGCAGUGGGGAAUUUUGGACAAUGGGCGAAAGCCUGAUCCAGCAAUGCCGCGUGCAGGAAGAAGGCCUUCGGGUUGUAAACUGCUUUUGUACGGAGCGAAAAGGUCUCCUCUAAUACAGGGGGCUCAUGACGGUACCGUAAGAAUAGGCACCGGCUAACUACGUGCCAGCAGCCGCAGUAA
rnacentral:rRNA from 1 species